UAUUAAAUCUUGUUUAGAUAGAU
rnacentral:snRNA from 1 species